GAUGAAGAACGCAGCGAAAUGCGACAAGUAAUGUGAAUUGCAGAAUUCAGUGAAUCAUCGAAUCUUUGAACGCACAUUGCGCCCCUUGGUAUUCCGAGGGGCAUGCCUGUUCGAGCGUCAUUAUAACCCCUCAAGCUCGGCUUGGUGUUGGGGCCUGCCGCACGGGCAGCCCUUAAAAUCAGUGGCGGUGCCAUCUGGCUCUAAGCGUAGUAAUUCUUCUCGCUAUAGAGUCCCGGUGGAUGCUUGCCAUUAACCCCCAAUUUCAAUGGUUGACCUCGGAUCAGGUAGGGAUACCCGCUGAACUUAAGCAUAUCAAUAAGCGGAGGA
rnacentral:misc_RNA from 1 species